rnacentral:tRNA from 1 species
GCCCCUGUAGCUCAGUUGGUAGAGCGCAUCCAUGGUAAGGAUGAGGUCGUCAGUUCAAUUCUGACCGGGGGCUCCA